UACGUAGGUGGCAAGCGUUGUCCGGAUUUACUGGGCGUAAAGAGCGCGCAGGCGGUCGUUCAAGUCGAGUGUGAAAGCCCCCGGCUCAACUGGGGAGGGUCACUCGAUACUGAUCGACUCGAAGGCAGAAGAGGGAAGCGGAAUUCCCGGUGUAGUGGUGAAAUGCGUAGAUAUCGGGAGGAACACCAGUGGCGAAGGCGGCUCACUGGACUGGUAUUGACGCUGAUGUGCGAAAGCGUGGGGAGCAAACAGG
rnacentral:rRNA from 1 species